AGUGAACGCUGGCGGUAGGCCUAACACAUGCAAGUCGAACGGCAGCACAGUAAGAGCUUGCUCUUUCGGGUGGCGAGUGGCGGACGGGUGAGGAAUACAUCGGAAUCUACUUUUUCGUGGGGGAUAACGUAGGGAAACUUACGCUAAUACCGCAUACGACCUACGGGUGAAAGCAGGGGAUCUUCGGACCUUGCGCGAUUGCAUGAGCCGAUGUCGGAUUAGCUAGUUGGCGGGGUAAAGGCCCACCAAGGCGACGAUCCGUAGCUGGUCUGAGAGGAUGAUCAGCCACACUGGAACUGAGACACGGUCCAGACUCCUACGGGAGGCAGCAGUGGGGAAUAUUGGACAAUGGGCGCAAGCCCGAUCCAGCCAGACCGCGUGGGUGAAGAAGGCCUUCGGGUUGUAAAGCCCUUUUGUUGGGAAAGAAAAGCAGCAGGUUAAUACCCCGCUGUUCUGACGGUACCCAAAGAAUAAGCACCGGCUAACUUCGUG
rnacentral:rRNA from 1 species